rnacentral:rRNA from 1 species
UGGGGAAUUUUGGACAAUGGGCGCAAGCCUGAUCCAGCCAUUCCGCGUGCAGGAUGAAGGCCUUCGGGUUGUAAACUGCUUUUGUACGGAACGAAAAAGCCCUUUCUAAUACAGAGGGUCCAUGACGGUACCGUAAGAAUAAGCACCGGCUAACUACGUGCCAGCAGCCGCGGUAAUACGUAGGGUGCGAGCGUUAAUCGGAAUUACUGGGCGUAAAGCGUGCGCAGGCGGUUUUGUAAGACAGGCGUGAAAUCCCCGGGCUUAACCUGGGAACUGCGUUUGUGACUGCAAGGCUAGAGUAUGGCAGAGGGGGGUAGAAUUCCACGUGUAGCAGUGAAAUGCGUAGAGAUGUGGAGGAAUACCGAUGGCGAAGGCAGCCCCCUGGGUCAAUACUGACGCUCAUGCACGAAAGCGUGGGGAGCAAACGGGAUUAGAUACCCUGGUAGUCCACGCCCUAAACGAUGUCAACUAGGUGUUGGGGGAGGAGAUUUCCUUAGUACCGCAGCUAACGCGUGAAGUUGACCGCCUGGGGAGUACGGCCGCAAGGUUG